AACGAACGCUGGCGGCAGGCUUAACACAUGCAAGUCGAGCGCCCCGCAAGGGGAGCGGCAGACGGGUGAGUAACGCGUGGGAAUCUACCCAUCUCUACGGAAUAACGCAUGGAAACGUGUGCUAAUACCGUAUACGUCCUUCGGGAGAAAGAUUUAUCGGAGAUGGAUGAGCCCGCGUUGGAUUAGCUAGUUGGUGGAGUAAAGGCCUACCAAGGCGACGAUCCAUAGCUGGUCUGAGAGGAUGAUCAGCCACACUGGGACUGAGACACGGCCCAGACUCCUACGGGAGGAAGCAGUGGGGAAUAUUGGACAAUGGGCGCAAGCCUGAUCCAGCCAUGCCGCGUGAGUGAUGAAGGCCCUAGGGUUGUAAAGCUCUUUCACCGGUGAAGAUAAUGACGGUGACCGGAGAAGAAGCCCCGGCUAACUUCGUGCCAGCAGCCGCAGUAACAC
rnacentral:rRNA from 1 species